UACGAAGGGGGCUAGCGUUGCUCGGAAUCACUGGGCGUAAAGGGCGCGUAGGCGGACUCUUAAGUCGGGGGUGAAAGCCCAGGGCUCAACCCUGGAAUUGCCUUCGAUACUGAGAGUCUUGAGUUCGGAAGAGGUUGGUUGAACUGCGAGUGUAGAGGUGAAAUUCGUAGAUAUUCGCAAGAACACCAGUGGCGAAGGCGGCUUACUGGUCCGGUUCUGACGCUGAGGCCCGAAAGCGUGGGGAGCAAACAGG
rnacentral:rRNA from 1 species